GACGAACGCUGGCGGCGUGCCUAAUACAUGCAAGUCGACCUUGAGGUGGGACGGGUGAGUAACACGUGGAUAACCUCCUAUAAGACCGGGAUAACUUCGGGAAACCGGCGCUACACCGGAGACUUAUAGAUGGAUCCGCGCUACAUUAGCUAGUAGGUAAGGUAACGGCUUACCAAGGCAACGAUGCAUAGCCGAUCUGAUAGGGUGAUCGGGCACACUGGAACUGAGACACGGUCCAGACUCCUACGGGAGGCAGCAGUAGGGAAUCUUCCGCAAUGGGCGAAAGCCUGACGGAGCAACGCCGCGUGAGUGAUGAAGGUCUUCGGAUCGUAAAGCUCUGUUAGUAGGGAAGCGGUACCUAAUCAGAAAGCCACGGCUAACUACGUGCCAGCCGCCGCGGUAAUUC
rnacentral:rRNA from 1 species